GAUGAAGAACGCAGCGAAAUGCGAUAAGUAAUGUGAAUUGCAGAAUUCCGUGAAUCAUCGAAUCUUUGAACGCAUAUUGCGCCCUCUGGUAUUCCGGGGGGCAUGCCUGUCCGAGCGUCAUUACAACCCCUCAAGCUCAGCUUGGUGUUGGGGCCUGCUGCACUGGCAGCCCUUAAAAUCAGUGGCGGCGCCAUCUGGCUCUAAGCGUAGUAAUUCUUCUCGCUAUGGAGUCCUGGUGGAUGCUUGCCAUCAACCCCCAAUUUUUCUAUGGUUGACCUCGGAUCAGGUAGGGAUACCCGCUGAACUUAAGCAUAUCAAUAAGCGGAGGA
rnacentral:misc_RNA from 1 species